CUCGAGCUGAGCUUUCGCUCACCAUCCACCACUGCUGUUUGCCACUGUCGCAGACCCACCGCCGACUCCCAUCCCUCUGGAUCCGGCAGGGUGUCCGCUGAGCUCCUGAUACGGCGAGACUCCCAUUGCCACUCCCGAUCAUGCUAAAGGCUUGCCAUUGUUCCUGCAACGUUAAGUGCCUGGGUUCGUCCUAAUCGAGCUGAACACUAGUCACUGGGUUCCAUGGUUCUCUUCCGUGACCCACGGCUUCUAAUAGAGCUAUAACACUCACUGCAUGGCCCAAGAUUCCAUUCCUUGGAAUCCGUGAGGCCAAGAACCCCAGGUCAGAGAAGACGAGGCUUGCCACCAUCUUGGAAGCGGCCCGCCACCAUCUUGGAAGUGGCUCGCCACCAUCUUGGGAGCUCUGUGAGCAAGGACCUCCGGUAACAUUUUGGCGACCACGAAGGGACAUCCAAAGCUCUCACUAUCCUUGACAGAGAAGAAAGGACUUAGAACCGGAAUUCAACUUUGUGACCAUAAUCUCUAUUCUACUUCUACUGUUCAUCGGUUGAAAUGGUCAUCAAAAUGUAAUAAGUUGAUCGAAGACUCUCAGAUAUUACUUUAGAAUAUAUUCCUUUUAUGAAAGCUGCAUCUGUAUUUGACUUGGUAAGAUAAUAAAUUCAAGAAAAGCCCAACUGGGACCUCUAACAUACUCUUCUACAAUAUAUGAAUUUUAUACUAAAUAAGACUAUAAUAUUCUCCUCUACAAGUGGAAACCACAUCCCCAUAGGAAAUCGAGAUGCUAAACUAUUAAUAGUUUACCCAGGUUUUCUCUGCCUACCAUGGAACCUUAAACUUCAUCACAGCCUAAGCACUGUAAAACAUUAUAAUUUAUGUUCAUAUAAAUGAAACUCUCUAGACAUUCUUCAUCUUGUCUACUACUUAAUGUUUCUGAUGUUUUUAAGACAGAGAAGUUCUCUGCAUUCAACCUGAGAAAAGACAAUGUCAAAAUAAAUUUAUAUAUCAAAUAAAUACUGUCAGAAGCAUUGCUAUAAGUCUGGUAAUGUUUUAAAAUGUUGUGCCAGUAA
rnacentral:lncRNA from 10 species